UGGGGAAUAUUGCACAAUGGGCGCAAGCCUGAUGCAGCAACGCCGCGUGAACGAUGAAGGUCUUCGGAUCGUAAAGUUCUGUUGCAGGGGAAGAUAAUGACGGUACCCUGUGAGGAAGCCCCGGCUAACUACGUGCCAGCAGCCGCGGUAAUACGUAGGGGGCUAGCGUUAUCCGGAUUUACUGGGCGUAAAGGGUGCGUAGGUGGUCUUUCAAGUCGGUGGUUAAAGGCUACGGCUCAACCGUAGUUAGCCUCCGAAACUGGAAGACUUGAGUGCAGGAGAGGAAAGUGGAAUUCCCAGUGUAGCGGUGAAAUGCGUAGAUAUUGGGAGGAACACCAGUAGCGAAGGCGACUUUCUGGACUGCAACUGACACUGAGGCACGAAAGCGUGGGUAGCAAACAGG
rnacentral:rRNA from 1 species